rnacentral:rRNA from 1 species
AUGGCUCAGGACGAACGCUGGCGGCAUGCCUAACACAUGCAAGUCGAACGGAGUAAUGACUUCGGUUAUUACUUAGUGGCGAACGGGUGAGUAACACGUGAAUAAUCUGCCCUGUACGAUGGGAUAACAGCUGGAAACGGCUGCUAAUACCGUAUAUGACCACGCCGAGGCAUCUCGGAGGGGUGAAAGCGCUUAAGCGGUACAGGAUGAGUUCGCGUCCAAUUAGCUAGUUGGUGAGGUAACGGCCCACCAAGGCGACGAUUGGUAGCCGACCUGAGAGGGUGAUCGGCCACACUGGAACUGAGACACGGUCCAGACUCCUACGGGAGGCAGCAGUGGGGAAUAUUGGGCAAUGGAGGAAACUCUUACCCAGCCAAUGCCGCGUGAGUGAUGAAGGUCUUCGGAUUGUAAACUUCUUUUGUCAAGGACGAUAAUGACGGUACUUGACGAAUAAGCUCCGGCUAACUACGUGCCAGCAGCCGC